AUCUACGGCCAUAGAAUCUAUAAAGCAUCCUGUCCCGUCAGCUCCAGGGAAUUAAGCUAGAUAUCGCCCGGUCAGUACCAACGUGGGGGACCAGUUGGGAAUCCCGGGUGCUGUAGUUG
rfam:Cryptococcus bestiolae CBS 10118 unplaced genomic scaffold supercont1.2, whole genome shotgun sequence.